CGCGACCCCAGGUCAGGCGGGGCUACCCGCUGAGUUUAAGCAUAUCAAUAAGCGGAGGAAAAGAAACUAACGAGGAUUCCCCUAGUAACGGCGAGCGAACCGGGGUAAUUC
rnacentral:rRNA from 1 species